rnacentral:rRNA from 1 species
UACGUAGGGUGCGAGCGUUAUUCGGAAUUACUGGGCGUAAAGCGCGCGCAGGCGGCUUUGUAAGGCGGAGGUGAAAUCCCCGGGCUUAACCUGGGAAUGGCAUUUGGGACUGCAAGGCUGGAGUGCGGCAGAGGAGACUGGAAUUCCUGGUGUAGCAGUGAAAUGCGUAGAUAUCAGGAGGAACACCGAUGGCGAAGGCAGGUCUCUGGGCUGACACUGACGCUCAUGCGCGAAAGCGUGGGGAGCAAACAGG